rnacentral:misc_RNA from 1 species
CCCCUUCGCUCCGUAAUGUGAAUUGCAGAAUUCAGUGAAUCAUCGAAUCUUUGAACGCACAUUGCGCCCGCCAGUAUUCUGGCGGGCAUGCCUGUUCGAGCGUCAUUUCAACCCUCAAGCCCCCGGGUUUGGUGUUGGGGAUCGGGCUGCGGUUCUACCGCGUCCCGGCCCCGAAAUCUAGUGGCGGUCUCGCUGCAGCCUCCAUUGCGUAGUAGCUAACACCUCGCAACUGGAACGCGGCGCGGCCAAGCCGUUAAACCCCCAACUUCUGAAUGUUGACCUCGGAUCAGGUAGGAAUACCCGCUGAACUUAAGC